UCCUGAAGUUAUACACCAUGCCCUUGACAAUUUUUUUUUCUUCCGGAAGGUUUUCAGAGAAGAAGUAAGAGAACAUCCAUUAGAUGAAAGUGUUCUGGAGAAGACACUGUUUAUUUGACUUGUGCAAUCUUCUCCAGUGACUGCAUACAAAGUGUUGGUGAUAGAAGUCCUGUCUCCGAUCGUUCCACAAACAGCACCCGAUAAGGAAAGCUUGCUGUUUCCCUGUAUGAUAGCGUAUUAAAAGAAGGCAUGAUUGACAGGAAGCAGAAUGAAGAUGAAGAGGAGGAGUCCUGCCACAGCAAGCUGAUGGCAGGCCUGUGAGUGAUUCCAGCAUCUGCAAUCCCUUGUCUUCAAGCUACUUCAUCGCAGGCAGUAGAAAAUUCAGUGGCAGGAAUCUGUCCCAAAUUUUCAGACUUUCAGCAUUGUUCACCAAUAGUUGAACAGGAUCAGAAAACCAUUCAGAUUUUUGCUUCUGUGAUUCAGUAGCACCGGCGAUCCACUGUCUCCUGACUGAGGUGAAGUACUGUGGUCGGCUCUACCACUUGUGUGAGAUCAGUGGAACUGCACACAGCUAAAAGCAGAACUUUUAAAUUUAUUAAUUCCAUAAGAAGAUUUGAAGAACUCAGGUCUUGGAGACUUGACAAAUGCCAGUGACCUUGAGAAAGACAAGGAAAUGGAGCAAGAGGCUUUGAACAGUAAAGCUAGUAUAGGAGUGUAAGAGUCCCUGGAUGAUAGUUAAGGAAGCGCAAAUGAAAUCAUAGAAUGAUCAGGGAGAAUUCUGCAUCAGAUACCUACCCCACAUGUUGUAGGAGCCCGGUACACCUGGGUGUAGAUCCUGCCUGCUUUGAAGGUGAAAGGGCUUGAUGGACUGCAUGAAGAUCACAAUUACCACAGGAAUGAAUCCUUUACAUGGAUACAGCAAUGAAGAAUCCUUCUACAUAUGAGUGUAAUGGUAUUCCUGAGUCUCCAGCUGGAAAUUGCAUGGCUGACAGCAGUGAAAACCAAGAGGAAGCUACUGAUGUGAUGAAGGAAGCCCUGAACACUACCAGAGAUAGAGGGCCUUCAUUGCUGCCCUGAAUACUAGCAGCAUAAUGGGCAUUAAGUAGGAAUUAAAGAAGGAGACUUGUGCCAUGGAGACACUAAAAACUGCAGAUGCUGGAAUCUGGAGCAAAAAACAAACUGCUGGAGAAACUUAAUGGGUCAAACAGCAUUUGUGGAGACAGAAUAUUGGAAAUGUUUCAGGUCAAGACUCUGCAUCUGGGCUUGUUUCAUGCUAGCUACCUUUCUUGAUUACAUUAAGACCAAUUCCACCCCUUUCUCCCCAACAGCCUUCAAAUUUCCAAUUCUGUUCUAAUUGUUUUAUUCUUUGUCUCCGCAACCUGUUGUGAUAAAAUAUUUCUUAUCACACAAUGUAUCAAAAGAAAGUAAUUCCUGCUUUUGGUGUUUUUGUAAUAAUCCUAAGCAAGUGAGCCAACAAAAGGAGUAUUUUAAAUGUUUUAACCUUUCAAAGCCUCUCACAAUUUGGCAGUUCUCUCUCUUCCAGUGGAUUCCUGUUUUGAGUUUUCUUACUACUAGUUUUUAACAACUUCCUUUUAUCCUUGGAGCAUCCUUUUCAAUUAUUGCUGUCUUCAUUCUAUAUUGUCCUGCUAAUGAGCUGCCUAAAUAUGCAUACAAUACUCAAAUCAAUGUUUUGUAAAUAAUUUCCUUGAUUUCAUAUUCAAUAUCAUGGUAUGUAAAGAGCAGAUUCAGGAUAAAUAU